UAUCCAAAGCACAUGCUUCCUGUUUUUCUGCACCCUAGAUUCCCCUCAGGGCGCACCCUCAGGGGUAGAGGGUAGCAGGGUGGGGCACGGGUGGUAGCUACAGUGACUGAUGGCUUGGGUGGGCAAUAUUCCUUGUUUACUGGAAUGGCAGGCUAUAUUCUUUGUCCACAGCACUUCCUCUUGGUCAUAAAUUCAACCAAGGUCUGGGAGGCAUUUCACGACCAAUUUGUCCCACGGAGCUAGGAAUUCUCACUCCUAGGUCAAGCCGGAGAGCUUGCAUUUCUAGCCAUUUCCCAUGUGAGGAUGACGGUGUUGGUCCUGGGACCACACUUGGAGAACCACGGGCAGAGUGCCUUGGAAUAAGAGGUUUGGAUUAGGGUUGCCAGAUAAAACAAGAUGCUCCGUUAAAUCUGAAUUUCAUAUAAACAGCCAAUGCUUUUGUAAUGUACUGUUAUGUCCCAGGCAGGAGGCGUUCUGUAUUUUCAUAGGCUGCAUCUGUGACCCUAUUGGGUUUAACUCCCAGCAUUACAGCUCUGGAGUCUCGUUAUUUAAGGCAAGUCAUUUAAGCACUUUGUGCUUCAGUAUCUCCAUCUACAAAACGGGGGUGGCAAGAAUGCCACGUGUCUCCUAGGAUGCUCUAGAUGACGAAAUGACUGUGUAAGGACCUGCCGCCGAGCCGUGCCUGCAGCAAGCACUCAGUAAAUGUCGGCUUUUACUAUUCACCGUUAACCUCAGAUAAAGAAAUUGAACAGAGUGAUUCAGGGUUACCUGAGGUUGCACAGUUAACAGAAUUAAGAUUCAAAUCCAGGAAUUCUGUUUCCAGAUGCCUUGAAUCAGCCCAAAGAUAUAUACCCAAGAGUGGAAUUGCUGGGUCAGAUGUAUGUACACCUUGCUCUUUAACUUAUCUACAGACUUGAACAAUAGAAAAAGUCUAUCCGCAAAAGAGGACACUGAGCCCUGAGGCUGGAGGGCCAACCUGACCUCUUCAAUUUUCAAUUUCACUGUGUUUCCAGAAAUGACAAUGCGUUUAUUGCAAUCAAUUGAGCAAUAACAUCUUCCUCUGAUCCUUGGUGUCGCUUUGGUAGGAGGAACAGAGCCUAAAGCUGGACUCAUGCUUUUUCCACUCACUUUUCUGGAGUGCUGUCAGUUUAGGGAAACACUCUCAGGGUUUAGGCUUACCUUCUAUAUCAAGAAUAGCAGACUUUUUUCUAUAAAGGGCCAGAUAGUGAAUAGAUUUGUCUUUGUGGGUCAUAGAGUCCCUGCUGCCAUUAUUACACGAAAGUAGCCAGAGACACUACACAAAUGAAUGGUCAUGGCUGUGUUCCAGAGAAAUUUUAUUUAGAGGCCCUGAAAUUAAAUUUCAUAUAAUUUUCCUGUGUCUUAAAACAUUAUUAAAAAUUUUCAAUCUUGUAUCAAGUUGAAAUAUACCCACUUGUAUCAUUCAUUCAAUAAACAUUUCUACAAAAUAAAACAUUUUAACUGCAUAUGAUGAAAGUUUUGGAAUAUACAUGGAGGUAGAGAAAACAGUAGAGUGAGUCCCUGUGUCUGUCAUACAGCUUUGCCAUUAUCAACAUGUGGCCAAUCUUGUAUUACCUUCCUGCCUCCGCUCACCCCACCGGCCAUGCAUGGUUCUUCCAAGGAAAUCCCAGAAAUCGUAUCACUCCAUCAGCUAAUCCUUCAGUACACACCUCUGAGAGAUAAAGAUGCGAUGAUAAUAACUAAAAAAGUUAACCCUUAUUUCUUAAUAUCAUUUAUAUCCAGUGUUCAAAUUUCCUCAACUCAUUUUCUUUUAUAGUUGAUUUGCUUAAAUGCAGAUCAAAAUAAGAUCUAUGUGAUGCAUUUAGUUAGUAAGUC